AAAUGGACAGCACUUCUGAAAAUCUUGUUGCACACGAGUUAAAAUUGCCAGUCAUUUGUUUUUAGGACAUUUUAAAACCAGUUGAUCAGCAAGGUGGUAAAUCUAAGUAGAGGGUAACUUCAAAGAGACACUUAAAAAGCCAUGUGAUUAAUGCAGUGAGUAAUUUUGUUUAUAUAGAUUUCUUAUCAAAUAUACAACUCUUACUUUAGAAGCCUUUGAUAUAAUAAACUAUUAAAUUGAAACAGCAGUUAACACACCAGCAGCCUCCUAGUAAAAACAAUCAUACUUGAUUACAAAGCCUUUGUGGGGUAAAAAAUUCUCUUAUGAAGACUGGAAAUAUUUAACAAUAAGAGAAUGCAGGUAUUUCUCCUCUUAGUUUGUCCUAUUGUUAUGCAAUACAGGCACCUUGUUCUUGCAGCCUGCCGCUUUAAGAAACAAUAGCUGAGGUACAGAGAAAAGCUGAUGCUUUCUGCAGAGCCCCAGCAGGCUGGGGAGAAAGGAGAGCGAGAGUAGUGAUGACAUCACCAUCCUCCCCAGCCAGAAGGCAGGCUCCUUAUGCAGGGAGAGAGGAUUCAGCCACAGCAGCAGUGACUAGGAACCUGUACCGCUGAUAAUCCAGGCAUAGAUAAGCAUUUGAAAAAGGAUGUUCCUCCAUCUGUAAUUACAGGAAUAUCCACGAUGAUCCCUUCAGCUGCAGCAACCCCUCCCAGCGAUGUGCUUUUCCCCAGCCUGUCUUGUCAGGAAUUCUGGAGGUCACAGAUCUCAGGCUAUUCUGGAUCUGUCACUCGCCACAUCAGUCAUCGUGCCAACAACUUUAAAAGACACCCAAAGAGGAGAAAACACAUCCGUCCCUCCCCUCCACCACCCCCAAAUACACCAUGCCCUAUUGAUCUGAUUGACUUUGGGGAUCUCCACCCUCAGAGAUCUUUCCUAGAACUGCUGUUUAAUGGGUGUAUUCUCUUUGGGAUUGAGUUCAGCUAUGCCAUGGAAACAGCCUAUGUGACUCCUGUGUUGCUUCAGAUGGGGCUGCCGGAUCAGUUGUAUGGAAUGGUGUGGUUUAUCAGCCCAAUACUAGGUUUCACACAUGUGAUGUGGAAGUUGGAACCACUACCCAUAAUUUUAGAGAACAAAAUGGAGAAUAUACCUCACUGGCCCUGGCUGAGGAGGGCGAGAUGUGACCAAAGAGGGAUUUCUCAUUACUGAUUUCUGAGUCUAUUUUUUAUUUGCAGCCAACAUACUUCCAGAAUUUUGGCUACUCCAUUUGUAUAUUUAAAAAUUAAUUUAAAAAAAGUCAAGGAACUAACUUCUAUUGACUCAACAGAAAGAGGGGGAGAAUAUGGAGACUAAACCUCUCUGGGCCUGUCAGCUAGCUGGGUGGGAAGGUGGGGGUAGCUUUGAGUUAAACAAGGCAUCCCAGGGAUGAAGUAAAUCUACUUCUGAGUCCAGAGUUUUGCUUUCUGUUGGGGUUGUGGCAUAUUCCUCUGAACAGACAUGGGGUGAAAGGUGUAUUCUUCUAUACAGGAAGAGUAGCAGAAAGUAUUAUUCCACAACUUGGGUAACAUCCUUCUGUCUCUUUGUACUUUUAAAACUGAUUACAGAAGAAGAGAAGAAAUAAUUCCUUUCCUCAGUCACUGAAUCCCUACCUGGCCCAGGAUAAUCCAGGCAACAUUCAGAUUUACACAUUGACUUACUGCUACAGCCCAGGCUAACCUCAUAAGGAAGUUGCGGUUUAAGGCAGUAAAGUUGUUCAUACGGAACAGAGCACUUCACGGGAUAAAAUAAUUGCCCAUUCAUUUUACACUUUUUGUCAAACGCCACUGUUAUUUUGAAGUGGAUUGGAUUGCAUUGUGUCAGACUGGUACCAGCUGAGCAUUACAUAAUGUACCACAGUUUACAGCUUCCACUCCAGGAAAUUCAAAGAAGUAAAUAGUGCAAAAGCCUAGGGUCCAGAUUUUUUACGGUAUUUAGGUCUUGCUGUACUCAGCAUUGCAACACUUAACUGAUAAGG